rnacentral:rRNA from 1 species
GAUGAACGCUGACAGAAUGCUUAACACAUGCAAGUCAACUUGAACUUCGGUUUGGGUGGCGGACGGGUGAGUAACGCGUAAAGAACUUGCCUCACAGCUAGGGACAACAUUUGGAAACGAAUGCUAAUACCUGAUAUUAUGAUUUUAGGGCAUCCUAGAAUUAUGAAAGCUAUAUGCGCUGUGAGAGAGCUUUGCGUCCCAUUAGCUAGUUGGAGAGGUAACGGCUCACCAAGGCGAUGAUGGGUAGCCGGCCUGAGAGGGUGAUCGGCCACAAGGGGACUGAGACACGGCCCUUACUCCUACGGGAGGCAGCAGUGGGGAAUAUUGGACAAUGGACCAAGAGUCUGAUCCAGCAAUUCUGUGUGCACGAUGAAGUUUUUCGGAAUGUAAAGUGCUUUCAGUUGGGAAGGAAAAAAUGACGGUACCAACAGAAGAAGUGACGGCUAAAUACGUGCCAGCAGCCGCGGUAAUACGUAUGUCACAAGCGUUAUCCGGAUUUAUUGGGCGUAAAGCGCGUCUAGGUGGUUAUAUAAGUCUGAUGUGAAAAUGCAGGGCUCAACUCUGUAUUGCGUUGGAAACUGUGUAACUAGAGUACUGGAGAGGUAAGCGGAACUACAAGUGUAGAGGUGAAAUUCGUAGAUAUUUGUAGGAAUGCCGAUGGGGAAGCCAGCUUACUGGACAGAUACUGACGCUGAAGUGCGAAAGCGUGGGUAGCAAACAGG